UAAGAUGAGGUGGCGGCUGAUUAGAUUGUUGGUGAGGUAAUGGCUCACCAAGUCUAAGAUCAGUAGGGGUCGUGAGAGCGAUGACCUCCAGAAGGACACUGAGAUAAGGGUCCUAGCCCUAAGGGGUGCAGCAGGCGCGAAAACUCUACAAUGCACGCAAGUGUGAUAGGGUAACUCCUCGUGCUCAUCGAGAGGUGGGCUUUUGUUAAGUCUAGUGCACUUAACGAAUAAGUGGUGGGCAAGACCGGUGCCAGCAGCCGCGGUAAUACCGGCGCCACAAGUGGAAAUCAUGUUUACUGGGUCUAAAGUGUUCGUAGCUGGUUUGUUAAGUUUCUUGUGAAAUCUCUUUUGCUUAACUGAGAGACUGCAAGAAAUACUGGCAAACUUGAGACCGGGAGAGGUAAGAGGUAUUGCUUGGGUAGUGGUAAAAUACUUUAAUCCUUGCAAGACCAACUAAGGCGAAGGCAUCUUACUAGAACGGAUCUGACAGUGAGGAACGAGAGCUAGGGGAGCGAACCGGACUAGAUACCCGGGUAGUCCUAGCCGUAAACUCUGCGGGUUAUGCUUUGCUAUAUCUAUGAGAUAUAGCAGGGGAGAAGCGAAGGCACUAAACCCGCCACCUGGGAAGUACAGCCGCAAGGCCGAAACUUAAAGGAAUUGCCGGGGGAGUACUACAAGGGGUGCGGCGUGCGGUUUAAUUGGAUAAUACACCGAGAACCUUACCAGGGGCGACAGCAAGAUGAAGGUCAGAUUAAAGGUUUUACCUGAUACGCUGAGAGGUGCUGCAUGGCCGCCGUCAGCUCGUGCUGUAAGGUGUCCUCUUAAGUGAGGAAACGAGCAAGACCUAUGCCUAUAGUUGCUAGUCGAGUCAAUUGGCGCACUUUAUAGGGACUGCCUUGGAAACGAGGAGGAAGGUGUAGGCCACGGUAGGUCUGUAUAGCCCGAAUCUCCUGGGCUACUUGCGCGCAACAAUGGUUAGGACAAUGAGUCGCAACUCCGAAAGGAGAAGCUAAUCUUCAAACCUAGCCUUAGUUUAGAUUGAGGUUUGCAACUCAGCCUCAUGACAAUGGAA
rnacentral:rRNA from 1 species